GUCUUUUAACAAAAUAAUUCCAAUUCGUUGUAAUCAAAUUUUGUGUGUCACAAUUUUUUCAUCAUCUUGCUUUGUUUUUUUUUUUUGGUUAUAGAAAAUUCUAAAUGAAACCGAAUGGGUCGUAUAAGAAGAGAAUUGGGAGCAAAAGGAAGUGACACGUUUCGUGAAAAAGAAUGAUACAUUUUAAAAAAGUUGUUGCUAACACUACCACAAAAUUUCAUGAGUGUUGGUAAGUUUCUAUCUUUUUUUGGAACCGGGAAGCCUGAUUUCGACAGAGUUGGCCUCUGCAUCCUGGUGACAUGCACCACAUCCCAAGAAUAAUCGUCAUAAUGCUCAUCGUACAAGAAAGAGGAGGAUAUAUAUCUCUGGGAAGGAAAUAAGGAAAAAACAAACAAACAAAGAAACAAAAAGGUUUUUAUAAUCUCUUUCAAUGCCUGAUGAAUUCUGGAUGAAUAAUGUUCGAUUGCUAUACAAAUUUUUUUUAGUUAA